AUUACUCCUACGGGAGGCAGCAGUGGGGAAUAUUGCACAAUGGGGGAAACCCUGAUGCAGCGACGCCGCGUGAGUGAAGAAGUAUUUCGGUAUGUAAAGCUCUAUCAGCAGGGAAGAAAAUGACGGUACCUGACUAAGAAGCUCCGGCUAAAUACGUGCCAGCAGCCGCGGUAAUAAUC
rnacentral:rRNA from 1 species